GAGCCUUGGCUCAGUGGCAGAGCACCUGCUCGGCAUGCAGAAGGUUCCAUGCACCAAGUUUAAUCCCUGGCAGCAUCU